rnacentral:tRNA from 1 species
GGGGUUGUGGCUCAGUGGUAGAGCACUUGCCUAGCACGUGUGAGGCUCUGGGUUCAAUCCUUAGCACCA